rnacentral:lncRNA from 1 species
GCUAAGGUCAAAAUGAGUGAGAAAAAGAGAAGAGGAAAAAUGUUUUUUUUUUCUUUUUUAAAAAAAAAUUAAAAUGUGUUUGACAUACCUUUGUCCUUGUUGAUAUAUCAUUUAUUUACAAAUACACACCAUCAUUUUAUCACCUCCAAAAUCUUCCCUGUGCCCUUGGUCAUCAACCCCUCCCCCAUCGCCAGAGCUCUCUGUCCCCACAGUCUCUCCUUUUCCAGGUGUCCUGUGAAUGGAACCCCUGGAACCUUUUGAGUUUGGAUCCUUUGCUUAGGAGAUGGCAUCUGAGCUCAUCUAAGCUGUGAACAUCAGGAGUUGGUUCCCUGAUGUCAUUCUUAGUGUUCUGUGGUAUGGAUGUGGUGACUUUAUUUGUAAUCACUCAGAGGACGGCCUUACUUCUAGAUUCCUGAACCAAAACACUCCCUUUGUUCAAGUGCAAAUCCUGAUUUGGAAUCCAAAAGGCAGGGUGAGAAGAGCAGGAGGGAAUAGGCUCUAUUAUGGAGGGACACCAGGUGUGGUGCAGGACGGGGCUCCUGGCCAGGAUAGCAUGCUGGUCAGAGGAAGACCCUGGAGUUGGGUACUUGGGUGUCAGAUCCUGGUUCUACCAUUUAUCAGCUAUGUGAUCUCCCAAGGCGUCAUGGGAUGGUGACUGGUCUCCUAGACUCUGAGGAGUUUAUGGUUGGACAGCAAGGACAGCAGGGUCAAAAAUGAUGGACCUUGUUGUUGAACCUGUGACAGCACGAGGACUGGGAGCGGUCAGGAGCCCAGCACGGUCAUCCACUUUCUAGGGCUCUCUCCCUCUGGUCCUCAGUGUCCCCCAUUUGUAGGAUAUGGCACUAGAUAAAUGACUUCUCGUAUCUUCCAUGAUUCUUGCGUAGAAGGUAACCAGACCUACUGAGAACCAGGCCCCGGGGACUUUGAUGACGUAGACCCACUUUCCUGAUACGUUGUCCCUGAAGCAUGAGGGCCAGGGAAGAGGAUCCACAUUGGGCCCUAGGUCCCUGGUGCAGACGUAGCCUGAGCCUCCCCUGUGGGUCCAGCCCAGCGACUUCUGAGCCAGGACAAAACAAGUGACGUGAGUGUGUCCAGAUUCCAGCUGAUGGCUGCCUGGUCAGAGUCUUUGGGAGGAAGAAUUUUAUCAGCUGCUUUUCUCUGUCCCUCAGGUUCUCGCUGUUCUUUAUAUAAAACAUUCAUCCAUUUUUCUCUUUUAAUGAAGGGGUUUUGCCACUCCACAUGUGCUACCACUUGAACCCAAUUAGAAACAUUCCUCAGGGUGAUGGACAAGCAGCUUCCGGGCCUAAGAAUCCUGACACAAAGCAGGCCUACCCUCACAGGACUUGGCCAUGCUUUGUGCAUAAAGUGAUGGCGCAGUCACGACUUUCCAGAGGAGAGCUUAGACGUCCUGAGACGUGGCUUUCAACUACAGUCUAACACAAGGCUGGCGACUCAGGGCUCAUGGACACCCCUCCGAGAAGGACUUCCACCCCAAGGGCUCAAACUCAUUGUAUUCUCACAGUCACUCUGGGGCUGUGUAGGGUGGAGGUCUCAUGCCCAGGCUACAGAGGAGGAAGCAGGUCUGGAGGGGAAAUGUUCUGUUCAAGGUGGCAGGGCUGGAUCGUCAGCACCACAGGGUGCACUUACGUGGCUCAUGGUGGGGACCAGAGAAGUGACUGGCAUGCAGAACUCCCUCCUCAGGCCUGCUUUCCCUCCCCCGUCCUCACCUGUGCCCACAGCCAGAGGGCAUUUCUCCUGAGCUCAGGGCAUCCUCUGUCCAGACCUGGUGUCUGCCCCCUCUAGUUGAGGGACCGCAGCAAAGCCUCCACCCCUUGGGUCUCAGUUUCCUUAUUUAACAACCAGGAAUGCUGACGCCUACCUUCCGAUUCAGAUGAGACUUUGAAAGAGAUGAAGAAAAUACAGUCUCCUGCUAAUUGCCACCCAGCAGGAUUCUGGAUAAUUAUGAAUAAGAGCCAUCAUUUCUUACAUCCCUAGAACAUGCCAGACCCUAUAUUGCACUACCCUCCAAUUUUAGGAUGCAGAGGGACAUAGUGGUAGGAACAGGAGCUUUGGAAUUAGACCCUACGAUACUUGCUGUCCAACCAUAAACUCCUCAGAAUCUGGUUUUCUCAUUUGUGAAAGAGGGCUAACAGCUCUGACCUCGUAAUUAGAGUGGUGAGGGCAUUAAAUAAGGUAAUGUUUGUAAAGUGCUUAGCAUUUUCCUGUGGGCACCUUGCAAAUACUCCAUAUACAGUAGCUGCUACACUUAGGGUCACGUAACCCUAAAAUGUGAGUGUUACUGCCCCAUUUGCAAGAUGAGGAAAGUGAGACACAGCCUGUUACGUCCUAGCUGCUGAGCCAAGGUGCAGACCCAGGUCUUCCCCACUCACUGUGCAUAGAGGCUUCCUGGACAGGUGUGGAUCUUCCAGGCUGAGACUGCCCCCAUGAUCCCUAAGGCUAUACCAGGCAUGGGGAAGGGUAGCCUUCCAAAAUGCCUGGUGAUAUUGUCAGAAAUGACAAUGUGCCUGCAGGGAACUGUGGUCACAAGCACACAAGGCCGGGGGGGUGGGGGCGCGGUGGCUCACUUCUGCCUUGCCCCAGAUAGCUCUGAGGCCCUGUGUGCCAGGGGGCAGGCAGAGGGUGUCAUUUGGUAUAUCUCAGAUCCAGAAGGUGGAGGCCUUGCCCACUCCAGUGAUGGGGUGAGUAUUGGUAGUGUUCUCUGUCCGUCCUGUAGCCUCAAGAAGCUGGCCAAGAAUGUGAUGCUGGCCUCUGCUGGGAAAUUAAAGCGAAUGGCCCUGGUUCCUGAGGGAGCUCUUCCCCUGGGGCUCUGCACCCUGAGCAUACCCUACCUGAAUGCCCCUCCUUCAGCACAGUCACUGAGCCAUUUGUGGGUUAGGAUCUGAAACACAGAGACAAACCAGGGCACAUUCUGGCCUUUGACAACCCUGCAGUUGUGUGGCAAUGAUACACAGAUGUUAUUAAACAAUACAGAAGUCCAAGGGCAGGAUUGUGAGGACACAGAUGAAGGGGAUCUCAUCUAGCUUGGGAAGUUAGAGAAGUCUGCCCGGAGGAGGCAGCUGAAGAGGGGAUUCUCCAAGGGGCCGGCUGGCAGAACGAGAGGUGUGCACUUGGCAAGGUCGAGGUGUACUCAGGGAACCCCAGGACACCCAGUGUGCAGUGUCUGUACGGGGUGGGAAAGCAUGAAGAGUGAGUCUGGAAGGACACCUGAGGCCAGUAAAGGAGGGCUUUGCAUUCUAGGUCAAGGGUAAAGGGGAAGAGGUGAUGGUAUGCUGACACCAGCUCCAGCUGGCCGUGAGAGCUGAUGAUGGACUUGAGUUCAGUGACCUCCUAUUGGUGGCUUGAAAUUGCCCGUGGAGGGAGGGAAUCUUUACACCAUAGAAAUUGGCAGUUGCUACAAAUCCGAACCCAUUGUUAAAAGACAGUGGGAGAGAGUGGGCUGUCUUUGGUGGAUUUUAAAGUAAGAGUGGGAGAUAAUUAACUUUGUUCCUUAGGAUGCUCCGGCUCUUGCAGGAGGAAGGGUAGGUGGAAGGCCCUGGUUGACCUCCUGAGAGGGUGCGAAGCUUCCCAGGAAGGGUUUGGGUAGUGGGAGAGGACAGACCCCUGGUGGUAACUUGACUCCUGAUGUGUGGGGGCUUAUCAAACACCCCUUAAAAGGCUGGGGGUGGGGUGGAGGAUUAGGUAAUUCUCCCAGCAUUCCUCCCCCAGAUCCUGAGAAUCUGCAAUAAAACAAACCCUUAAUGAAAAACACCUGGGCUCUGCCCCAGAGCCAGGCCCUGAGAUGGGGAUGGGAAGGGGAUUAGGGGGUUGGAAAUCGGGGUGGAGGGAGACCCUGCACUCCAUCUGCUCAUUUGUUCAGGCGUUAACUCUUCUCUCCCCCAGCAUCUGCUCCUGGUGAGAAGGAGGAAUUGAAGAAAGAGGGAGAGGGAAGAUACAGCCAGACAGCCCCGGGAUCACCUGCCUCGCAGCGCCUGAUGUACACAUGCCCAUUCUAAGGAAGCUUCUGGUACAGAUCACAGUGUGUCAGAGCCACAAGUGGACCAGGUUCCAGGUCUCACAGAUGGUCCCCUGUAGUGACAUGUGCGUGUGUGUGUGUGUGUGUGUGUGUGUGAGAGAGAGAGAGAGAGAGAGAGAGAGAGAGAGAGAGAGAUUGGUGAGAAGGCAGGAAGGAUAGAGACUGAGACCUCACUCUCCCAUGACAUUAGGAGAAUCAGGGACUGAGAUCCCAAGGGGAGACCUGGCUGAGCCCAGAGCGUGCUGGACUUUGGCCUGUUUCAGCCUGACCUCCAGAUCACACUGGCCCAUGGAGCUUUAAAGCCUGGAGAUUCAGGGUGUCUCUGGCGGGGCUGGGCUCCGGGCCACCUUUCCCCUUCUCUGGAGGAAGUCAUCCACAGGGAUCUGUGGAUCAAAGGUCACUGCCCACUCUGGCUUCUCAAGAUGCCUCUGUGGGCUCCCAUGCACCAUGCUGACUGGUCCAGUACUCAGGCUCCUGGCUGGAACUGCCAGUGGUCACCAUCCAGGUGGGGUGGUUGGAAAAGGGACGCUCAGGCACGGGGAGGGAAUGAGUUUGUGAAUUGAGCUCCAGCUGUUAUUCUACACCUUCUGAGGCCUUCUGUCCACGCAGUUCUGCCUAGGAAUGGAGACCCCCUAGGCAGUCUCAGGACCUGCAGGGGCACCUGAGUAUCUAUGUGCGUGUUAGAAACAGUGCCUCUCCUGGAAGAUCCAGACCUGCAGAGGCAUGGUCUUCAUUGCAACUAGAAAAGAGGACUCUCCUUCAGGCCAACAGCCCUGAUGUGGAAACCGAUCUGCACAGACGCAUUCAGUAACUUGAGCGUGUCCCCCAGUGGCCAGCGGAGAGGGCUCCAUUUGCUCCCACGCCUCUCUGCCCUCCCCCCAUGCUCUCCAUUUCCUAUUCCCAGUUAUCACCUUAAAAGGCUGUGAGGGGUAUAGAAGGUGGGGGGGCGGAGCUGUGACAACUGACAUCUUCAAGCUUCAAGGGCUCUGGGAGGCGAAGUCCCCCGCUGUCAGUACUGUGGUGAGCUUCCAGCAGGGGAAGCCCCCCAUGCCUUCUGGGCACCAUGUGGGGAGGGAGGCCUAGGCAUCUGGAGAUGAAAGGCACAAGACCAGCUGCAGCCCCAGCCGCCACCCAGCUUCCCUCUGGGGCCAUGUGGUUGCAGCCUGCAACCCUCCUGAAGACACAUGUAUCUGCAGCACAUCCAUACAUCCCCCUGGGCAGAGGAACUGGCCUCCUAGGCAGGUCGAAGUGAGGCAUGGCAGCUUGCAUUUCAGCCCUUGAGAGGGGAACAUUCUUUCCAGUGCUUUGGCCCCUCUUCUGAUCAUUGACCCUUCAGGGCAAGUCCUUUGGGGAGCGGGGCGGGGGCACAGAGUUGUGAGACAGAAGGCCCAGGCCUCCGCCCAGACCUCAGCUGCUCUCCUUUCCUUCUGAGGCCUUAGGUCUUCUUACUUGUAAAACAAUCAUCAGGAAGUUGCACAAUGUACUAUAGGAGUCAGAGGACCUGCCUGACUUCAAAGCUUUAUCUCAGCACUGCAGGGUCCCUCCGGGAGCCCGGGAGAGAGAUGCUUGCUGGAAUGUGCCCCUCAGUGGGAUCUUAGGACAAUGCUACUCCUCAGGACUCCUCGGAGCACGUGGGCUUCUGCAGGUCAUAAAGCUGUGAAGAUUCUUGGGUGCACACUCUUGAAAUUGAGGUUCAGAGAAGAGGAAUGAUUUGUCAGUGGUGUUGAGAGGGUUGGUGAUGCAAAGCCCAGACUCACUGGGUCUCUCUGCCCCAGAUGGGGGAGUUCAGACAGGACGGCCAGCGCGUCCCAGUCCAGUGUUCUUUCUGCUGCACAGGGUGGCUGUCUGGAAACCCAUCCAGGCUACACUCCGCUGAUGUGGAGGAGCCCACACUGCGACUGGCGGCCUCCCUCCCUGGGGAGAAAAAUGUUCCCCUGAAGGAGAAGUAGAACACACAUCUUCCCAUUCAUGACUGUGGCCAUCACAUGAGGUCACCCCUUUUCUUUGUCCCAAGUUGCUGACUCUGAACAGAAGUUGGUUCCUGAGGGUAAAGGAGCAGCAGCCGGUAACUGGCAGGAAGAAGUCACGGGCACCCCCUUGUUGGAUCAGUGGCUAAAUCAGCCCCGAGGCUGGCGCCACACUCCAGGAAGCCUGGUGCCUGUGAAGCCCGGUGUGGGGCUGAGUCCUAGACAGGAAUUCUGGGGGCUCCUAGCUGGGCCACCUCCCUGAAGCACCAGGUCACAGGGAGUAGGAGCCAGUGUGGAGGGACAGAAGGGACUAAAGAGUCAGUCCGUUGCUGAGAUCCUGCUGAGCACCAAUGGGAUGCCAGGCGCCUGGUUCUCCUGAUGGGUGCUCAGCCCUUAGUGAUCUCAGGAUCCCGCUUCAAAGAUGCACUUUAGAUCUCGGGGCUGUGGCACCUGUGAGCUGGAGUCCAUGGGUACCAGGGAGCAAACUGUCAGGGAGGAGUUCUCGGCUGGUCUAGGAAGAUGGGUAGGAUGCCCUCUUGGGAAAAAAUGGCAGAACAGGAAAAAUAGGAAACCAAGGUCAGGAAGGGGUGUGAGUUGGCGGGAAGAGGUGGGGGCUGGGCCUCCCUGGGUGUGGGUGGUGGAUGUUGGCUCCCCAGGGACAGCUUUCCCCCAGCAGACGCCAUAUUGGCUAAAGCAGCCACCCUCGAGGGGCACCAUGGGCCUGAGGGUCUGUGAUGACGUGGGCUCCUAUGAGUCAGGACAGUGCUGGGAAGCACCAUUGGCCCUUGGUUCCCAGCCCGUCUUGCUGCCAUCCCUCCCUGCUCAAGGGCAACUUCCUAGAAAGGUUAGUCAUUCUGCAGGGUUCCCUAGGUGAGGGAGUUCAGACAGGACAGCUAGUGUGUCCCCCACCCACUCAGUGCCACCUCUUUGGGGAGUCAUCUGUCUUGGUCCUUUUUCCUGUUCAGGGAGCCUUCCCUCUUACCUGCCAGCUCACCCCACAGCUCCAGGGAUGAACUCCCCUGGCAAAGGGCACCCUCAAGAGCCGGGCUCCUGGCUGAGCCCCAAAGGCAGGCCACGUGGCAAUUCCUCUCUCUCUCCCUCUUAGCAGGUGUAGUCCUAGCUUCUGUUUUUCCCAACUACUUUCUCAGCAGUUGCCCUUUGAUUCUAAGACCAUCUGCACUCCCAGGGAGGGCUUCCAGGAGGACAGGGCUACGGAGCUGGACCCCGGAAUGCUAGGAGAACUUGUCUGUGACUCCAGAAACCUCCAGGAGUCAGGGGACCUGGGAGGAGGCCUUCCUGGGAGUUGUGAAUGAAGCAACCCUGGGCCUCUCCUUCCCACCUGGCUCCACUCAGGCCCUCGGAGUCUCUCCAGGCACAGGUGGGAGUAGCGUGAGGCUGACAGGGGGAAGGUGAGACUACACUAAGGAGUCCUCACCUGGGAGACAAAGAAUUCCUGCUGCCGGGGGGAUGGGGGCAGGUGGAGCAAGCUGCCUGGGGACCACCAGAGGGAGAGGCAGGAAUGUGUACAGAGAGAAGGCGGAGGACCCCGUCCCCUCAACGCUUCCACCAGCCUGAACGCAGGUGCCUUGCUGGCUCUCACACCUGCCUCCUGGGGUCUCCUGCCAGAGGAGCCCACCUCAGCUGUUCCCUGGAGCCCCUGGUGAUUCGGGGACAGUUUCUCCCUGUGCUGGGCUAUCAGGGGAUUGCUGGGGGGGAAUCCACCCCUCGAUAGUCAGUGCAUACAGUUGGAGCUUUAGCCAAGUGCACUGAGCAGAGACCACUGGACGCCUCAGACUUGUGACAAUUACACUACCAGACCCCUCCCCCACUCUUCCAGUGAGACUGAUGACUUCCUGGAAAGGGGUUAAAUGGAGGGUUUGUGACAUGGAACAUUUGAUGUGACCUGAGAACUUCCUGUUCAAAUGACCCUUAGGGCUCUUGACCUCUUCCCUAAAAGUGUUCUGUGCAAGGUCAGAAGGCCUCUAAGUCAGAUUCCUCUGAGCAGAGCCGCUGACCUGUGAACCCAGCCCAGGCCCCGGGAUCCAGGUCCCCCUACUCUCCUGGGCUCUUAUUUAUUAUCAUUAUUUAUAAUAAUAAUAUAAGCAGCCAGAAAAGCUGCUUGGUGGCCUUGUGGAAGUUAACAGGGGAAUCCCAACAGGAAGUGGGUCUUCCUGUCAAAGGCUCUGGCACCUCCCCCCCCCCCCCAGGGUGCUUAGGGAAAGGCAGACAGGACAGGGCUCUGAGAGCCCAGGGCUCAACCCUGAGGCCUUCAGGGCCCCCAUGGGUGAAGCUGCUCUGAGCUUCUGCUCAGGGCUUGGUGGGGACUCAGGAGAUUCCUUGAGAAGGGCUGAGCAAAGCCACUUUAUAAGGACCUCUUCUAUGAAGGGGGCCAUGGUGGACAGCAUGAGCUCAGUUCAGGCUCUCCUCCCUCCCCCUCCACAACAAGGAGCCUUGGAAAGGCCUUCAUCAGGUGGCUGAUUCUUAGCCCCAAUGUUCUCAUUCAUUACCUUCUUCUCUGUGGCAGACAUCCAUGCUUUGUUUUAAAAAAGAGUCUCUACCGAGUUGGGUGCAGUGGCACACACCUGUAAUUCCAGUGACUGGGGAGACUGAGGCAGGAGGAUCUCAAGUUUGAGGCCAGCCUUGGCAACUUAGCAAGAAGACCAUCUUGAUAUUAAAAAUUACUAAAAAGGGCUGGGGAUGUAGUGCAGCAGGAGAGUGCUCACCUAGCACGUGCAACUGCAAAGCCCCAGGUUCAUUCCCUAGGACAAAAAAGAAAAAAGGGAAAAGAGAUGAGGGGAAGGAAAGAAGGAAAAGACAGAAAGAGAGAGAGUCUUUACCUGCUGGUUUCCAUGGAGACUUCCCCCCUUCCAUUUCUGCACUACCCUGGCUGCUCUGAUAUAAUCUGAGCCCCUGGAUGCAGUCCGCAGGGCUCAUGUCCUACCUCCAUGUUAAUGGGGAAAUUUGUGGUGGGAAGACCUGCUUCCUGCAAGGAAGAAGGUUUUGACCCAAACACAGAUACCUAGCCUCUUUAUAGCAUCAUUAAGUCCCACUUUCUGGGUGGAGAGGAGAGACCCAGAUGACGGCUCCACGCUCUGCACAGUGUUUGCAGGGGUCGUUGCUGGGGUGUGCAAAGGUGAGGUCUUGGCCUGACGGCGGAGCCAGGCGACUCUCUGGGAAGAAAGGCCUUCCAGGCACAGGUGGGAGUAGCGUGAGGAUGACAGAGGGAAGGCGAGACUACACUAAGGAGUCCUCACCUGGGAGACAAAGAAUUUCCGCUGCCGGGGAGGAUGGGAGCAGGUGGAGCAAGCUGCCUGGGGACCACCAGAGGGAGAGGCAGGAAUGUGUACAGAGAGAAGGCGGAGGACCCCGUCCCCUCAACGCUUCCACCAGCCUGAACGCAGGUGCCUUGCUGGCUCUCACACCUGCCUCCUGGGGUCUGCUGCCAGAGGAGCACCACUGGUCUCCGUAUCACCUGGUGAGUCAGGGCACGUCAGGGGACUCGGCCGUGGGUCCUGCUGCAGUUUCGGCCUACUGAGGCUGAAGUCCACCCAGCGGUUCCUGUUAGAGGCAUGGCCAUCUGACUUGACCAACCAGUCAGUCAGGCCUGGGUCACCCGGGGCAUUAGCUGUCUGCCUGCUGGGCUGUCUGGGAAGCAACGUGGCUGAAUCAGAUCUUGACCAGACAGUAAUGAAUACCAGCCCUGUAGACUGGGGCUCGAGGGGGUGGGACGGAGGCUUGAUGGUGGGCCAAGCUCUCAGGAGAAGGAGAUGUGGCAAUCUUGUGGGCAAAUGGAGAGAUGCACU